rnacentral:rRNA from 1 species
UAGGGAAUCUUCCACAAUGGGCGCAAGCCUGAUGGAGCAACACCGCGUGAGUGAAGAAGGGUUUCGGCUCGUAAAGCUCUGUUGUUAAAGAAGAACACGUAUGAGAGUAACUGUUCAUACGUUGACGGUAUUUAACCAGAAAGUCACGGCUAACUACGUACCAC